rnacentral:snRNA from 1 species
CCCUUUGUGUAGUAGCAGUAUCAUAGCUGAUGAUGUUUAUCUGAGGCACAAUUAUUUCUAAUUAAAAACUUUUCCCAGAAAUAUUCUCCAAAAGAAGGAGACAAUUGUGGAACAUUGUUAGCAAU